rnacentral:lncRNA from 1 species
GCAGCUGAGUGAGAACUGCUGGUGGCUUCGCUCUGCCUGUGAGUUCCAGCUCGCUCUGCAUCUGUGUACAGGCUCCUCACUCCCGGGAUCAACUCUGCUGCUGCUGCUGCUGCUGCUUAGGACAAUGUUAAAACCAGCUGCCCAGGUGCUGUGUGCAUAGGUGUCUCUGCUUUCCUGGUGUUUUUUGUGUGCAUCUGUUCUCAUAUGAUGAGCUGUUGAUCCCCUCUGUGGUUUCCUUCCAUGGCGUCUGAGGGAGCUCGGGCCAAAAGGACCAUUCUGGUUGCAUCCAGGGUCCACUGGAGCAGCAUGGACCUACCCGACCUAAUCCCAGCUCAGGACCAGGAGGCUCACGGAAAUUCGAGCCAGGACAGUGUCAGGAAAUGGCUCACCACCACCGGCACUGAGGACGAUGCAAAGCAUGAGCCUCUGCAGGAAGCUGCAGGUACGACCAAUGGAAAUCCCUCUCUGCUUUAAGUGUAGGGAGGUGUCUGUCCCCUUUAUUCUGUGUCCACCUUAUAUUGUCUUCCACCUUGUGUGAUUCAGUGGUACAUGAUGGUGAGUACAGCGUUUGUUUGGCUCACAGCACUUCUGUAGUGGUCGGGUGAGGUUUGUAGUGAGUGGAGUGAAACGAGGUGAAUAGUUCUAGUUGGGUGACGACUGGCUGACCUGCUAAAACCGCCGAGUGGACGAUGAAUGUUAAAGCUGCAUGUGUUAUGUCACACAAGUCAUUAGUGAGGGAGAGAGAAAGCAGACGUACAGUAGCUGCUGUGGAAUACACACAGCAGCCUGGUUAAUAGAACAUGUUCCUGCUGUGUUAGUGUCAGGAAUCAUUUGUUUUUAAUGUUUAAAUACAUUUUUAAUGCUCUUUUCUAAAUGUAAUUGUUGUUAUUCCUUCACAUCAGUUGCAGUUAUUAUCGGUUGAGCAGGAGCGUUGUACACGUUCACAUUUCCUUUCCAUAACGCUGAAUUAAAAAUGUCUUCAUGAAUUAAUUAAGGCUGAAAAUGAACGUGGCGGUUUGAAAUCAAAGAGCACACUUUGAUGAAUUUACACAUAUUGUUGUUGAUGGUUAGCGUUAAGCAGUGUGUAUUAUCUAACAACACCCCCACCCCUACCCCCCCUGCCCCACCCUGAGAUCAGCCCAUUCAAACAGCAUGCAAAUGGUGGUUCCAUGGGAACGGCAAAUUGCUCCUCAUGCGUCUCCCCCCCCCCCCCCCCUGUCACCUUCAAGUAAAAGCAGCCCUACUUGGCUGUUUGUCCCUCAGGCUGCUCUACCUGCGUCCACUGUACUGGGUCUGUUCGAGGGCAACAGGGAGCUGGGAAUGUGAAGGACAUCAGUUCUGCAGGUAUUUAGUCAUGAGCCAAAGUAUAUGACAGUAUAUAGAAAGUUAAGGGGUCACCAGAGGGAAUACAGUUCACACCUCUGUUGUAA